GAUGAACGCUGGCGGCGUGCCUAAUACAUGCAAGUCGAGCGAACAGACGAGGAGCUUGCUUCUCUGACGUUAGCGGCGGACGGGUGAGUAACACGUGGAUAACCUACCUAUAAGACUGGGAUAACUUCGGGAAACCGGAGCUAAUACCGGAUAAUAUAUUGAACCGCAUGGUUCAAUAGUGAGAGACGGUUUUGCUGUCACUUAUAGAUGGAUCCGCGCCGCAUUAGCUAGUUGGUAAGGUAACGGCUUACCAAGGCAACGAUGCGUAGCCGACCUGAGAGGGUGAUCGGCCACACUGGAACUGAGACACGGUCCAGACUCCUACGGGAGGCAGCAGUAGGGAAUCUUCCGCAAUGGGCGAAAGCCUGACGGAGCAACGCCGCGUGAGUGAUGAAGGUCUUCGGAUCGUAAAACUCUGUUAUUAGGGAAGAACAUAUGUGUAAGUAACUGUGCACGUCUUGACGGUACCUAAUCAGAAAGCCACGGCUAACUACGUG
rnacentral:rRNA from 1 species